rnacentral:rRNA from 1 species
CCUACGGGUGGCAGCAGUGAGGAAUAUUGGUCAAUGGGCGGAAGCCUGAACCAGCCAAGUAGCGUGCAGGAUGACGGCCCUACGGGUUGUAAGCUGCUUUUAUACGGGAAUAACGCGCCUUACGUGUAGGGCUUUGCAUGUACCUUAUGAAUAAGGACCGGCUAAUGCAGUGCCAGCAGCCAGGGUACUACGGAAGGUCCGGGCUGUAUCCGGAUUUAUUGGGUUUAAAGGGAGCGUAGGCCGCAUGUCAAGCGUGCUGUGAAAUGUCCGGGCCCAACCCGGGCCUUGCAGCGCGAACUGGGGUGCUUGAGUCCGCGUAAAGCAGGCGGAAUUCGUCGUGGAGCGGUGAAAUGCUUAGAUAUGACGAAGAACCCCGAUUGCGAAGGCAGCUUGCUGCAGCGGAACUGACGCUGAGGCUCGAAAGCGUGGGUAUCGAACAGGAUUAGAUACCCUAGUAGUC